CCUACGGGCGGCUGCAGUGGGGAAUAUUGCGCAAUGGGCGAAAGCCUGACGCAGCGACGCCGCGUGAGGGAUGAAGGUCUUCGGAUUGUAAACCUCUGUCAGCAGGGAAGAACGGUCACUGUGCUAUUCAGCAGUGAAUUGACGGUACCUGCAAAGGAAGCACCGGCUAACUCCGUGCCAGCAGCCGCGGUAAUACGGAGGGUGCGAGCGUUAAUCGGAAUUACUGGGCGUAAAGCGCGCGUAGGCGGUAUGUCAAGUCAAGGGUGAAAUCCCCGGGCUCAACGUGGGAACUGCCUUUGAAACUGGCAAACUGGAGUGUGGGAGAGGAUAGUGGAAUUCCAGGUGUAGGGGUGAAAUGCGUAGAUAUCUGGAGGAACAUCGGUGGCGAAGGCGGCUAUCUGGCACAUAACUGACGCUGAGGAGCGAAAGCGUGGGUAGCAAACAGGAUUAGAUACCCGAGUAGUC
rnacentral:rRNA from 1 species